rnacentral:rRNA from 1 species
UACGAAGGGGGCUAGCGUUGCUCGGAAUCACUGGGCGUAAAGCGCACGUAGGCGGAUCUUUAAGUCAGUGGUGAAAUCCCAAGGCUCAACCUUGGAACUGCCUUUGAUACUGGGGAUCUCGAGUCCGGAAGAGGUGAGUGGAACUGCGAGUGUAGAGGUGAAAUUCGUAGAUAUUCGCAAGAACACCAGUGGCGAAAGCGGCUCACUGGUCCGGUACUGACGCUGAGGUGCGAAAGCGUGGGGAGCAAACAGG